CACGUCUGUCAGAUGCACCCACGAAGUCGCGUCACUCGCUGGCUGCCGCAAAGCAACGCUCACGCCACGAUGGAGGAGAUCGCCUGGAACACGCCUGGAAUGGAGUGGGCGCUAGGCAAACAGCUGCGCGGUGAAUGGACGUGCGGAGGUGUGUCUGCCGGACGCACGCGGCCAACACUUCUUGAGGCCUCAGGACCUUUGCUCGGCACCAGGCGGAGUGGAAGCCCACAGGCCACUCACAAUGGCCCCUCGAUGUGCGUUUGGAAGAGGAGGCUGGAAAUCGAAGCUCCUGUUUGGGGUGUGUUGGAGGUGACUGGCCCCUGUGCGGUGCG